AUUGAACGCUGGCGGCAGGCCUAACACAUGCAAGUCGAAUGGUAACAGGAAACAGCUUGCUGUUUCGCUGACGAGUGGCGGACGGGUGAGUAAUGUCUGGGAAACUGCCUGAUGGAGGGGGAUAACUACUGGAAACGGUAGCUAAUACCGCAUAACGUCGCAAGACCAAAGAGGGGGACCUUCGGGCCUCUUGCCAUCAGAUGUGCCCAGAUGGGAUUAGCUAGUAGGUGGGGUAACGGCUCACCUAGGCGACGAUCCCUAGCUGGUCUGAGAGGAUGACCAGCCACACUGGAACUGAGACACGGUCCAGACUCCUACGGGAGGCAGCAGUGGGGAAUAUUGCACAAUGGGCGCAAGCCUGAUGCAGCCAUGCCGCGUGUAUGAAGAAGGCCUUCGGGUUGUAAAGUACUUUCAGCGGGGAGGAAGGGAGUAAAGUUAAUACCUUGGCUCAUUGACGUUACCCGCGGAAGAAGCACCGGCUAACUCCGUG
rnacentral:rRNA from 1 species